rnacentral:tRNA from 1 species
GUUCCUGUAGUGCAAUGGAUAGCUCUUUGGACUUUUAAUUCAAAGGUCGUGGGUUAGAAUUCCACUUGGGAUG